UACGAAGGGGGCUAGCGUUGCUCGGAUUUAUUGGGCGUAAAGGGCUCGUAGGCGGUCUGUUGCGUCGGGAGUGAAAACUCAGGGCUUAACCCUGAGCCUGCUUCCGAUACGGGCAGACUAGAGGUAUGCAGGGGAGAACGGAAUUCCUGGUGUAGCGGUGAAAUGCGCAGAUAUCAGGAGGAACACCGGUGGCGAAGGCGGUUCUCUGGGCAUUACCUGACGCUGAGGAGCGAAAGUGUGGGGAGCGAACAGG
rnacentral:rRNA from 1 species